GAGGGGGGUGGGCCGGAGCGGUGCCGCGGUGGCUCCGGGCGGCAGGCGCACCUCCUGGACGCCCGAUGUCCCCCCCGCCUCCACCCCGCGGCGUGAGGCGAUUGACUUCGCGGCUCUAAUUGAUCGCUUCAGUCUAGUCCAAGGACGGCGCGGCACAAGUGACCGCCAUCGAAAGGACAUCGGGGCUCGGGCCGGCGGGACGGGUCCCCCCCUCGCCGGGCACCGGCACGGCGGGGGCGCGCGCGGCGUUUCUCCCAGCAGCCGCCAGGGGGCGCCGCUCCCGCGCUGCGGCGGCUCCUCGCCCGCUCCGGGUCCCUCGGCCGGGUCGGCCGCGGCACCGUAAGUACCCCGAGUACAGCUACGCCUGCCCGCCGGCGGGGAGACCGCGUUCAGCUGCCUGUCCCUCUGCCCGCCACCACCCGGCCGGGCCCUUCCACCGCAGCCCCUUAGAACGUGCGGAGUGUCCUCCCCUCCGGCUCCACUGCUCGGUGCUGAACCGGGUAUCGCCGCUCUGUGCGACUCCGCGUCCCCACGCAACCUGCUAGCGAGGUGAGAGUGCUGGAGUUGUACCAGAGCAGAAGCUAGAAGGCAUAUCUUACAGUCAACCCCAGCCUGGAGAAGCUGUGGCAAACCCCUCCUAUGUUCUGAUAACAAACUCCUGUGGCCUAACAUACACAGACCUCAUCCAAGCCCUUGCUAGGAGCGAAAACACAUUCCACCUGUGUUUUGAUCCCUGCCUGGCCUGCUGCUUCAUCACCAGGUGCAGAUUGAGGUAUUUUUGUAGAUAAGAUGCUACUAUCUUGGGACCUGGUUAUUUUAGAAAGUUCCUUUCCAUUUCCAAGCUAGUACAAUAAUUACAGAAAACUAUCUCUUUCCUGGCUGAUGUCUUCUGGGUCAAGACCAGGCUGCAUUUAGUGCUUCUCAGCUAAUAGCUGGGUCUUGCUGGUUUUGCAGACCUUUCCUUGGGUGAUAGUGGCAACAACUAUCUGCUCUGGGAUGGGCAAGUAGAGUUGAAGAAAUUAAUUUACUUUGAGUAAUGUGAUUUUUUUUUCCUGAGUACCAAUUUUAUUAAAUAGUUUUGGUUUGUUUUCUUUUUCUAAUGAGUUUUAUGGUGCUGAAAAAUGUGAAAAGUAAAUAAUUGGACCUGUAAAAUAUGGCAUAUAUUUAUUUAUAGUGGUGUAAUUGAAACAAUUCAACUACUUAAUAUUAAGAUAGCAUGAUCUCCUUAAUGUGCAGUCAGUCGUAGGUUCAGAAAAGCAUUUUGAACUAGUAGAGGGGUUUUCCCUCCUGCUCUCUUUCUGAAGUGCUGUCUUGCAUUUCCUCUGGUUUGGAUCGUGGUUGCAAAGCCUGACUCGAUCAGGUGUCUCCAUUUGCACCUGCCUUGGAAAGUGCAGCCAGACGGCCGGAGGUGAUGCCCGCUGCCACCAGCCGUGCUGGAAGAGUCCCGCCUGUCCGGCGGGCUCCAGGCCUCGCCAGGGCACGGCUGCAUUUCUCGGGGUUCAGGUUCACUAUCAGCGUGUCUCCCCGGCACAGGGAGCCCCCCACGACCCGUCAAAUCCAUAAUUCAGCCGCCCUCCCCCGGGCCGGGAGCGCCGGCGGGAUGCGGGGCCCGGAGCCCCGGGCUCAGCGCCCCCGGCAGAUGAGGAGCUGCUCAAGUUCCCACUUCAAAGACGCCGUCGUUGGCGAGAGGGAGGCGGACAAAAGCAAGCGCCCGGCUAACGAAUGCGGCGCUCUGCCGGCGAGUUUUAAGGCGUUUUAAGUCUAAAGAAGAAGUGACAGGGCAAUCAGCUCCCCGGCUCGGCUGCGGAUAGGAGGGUGAAAUCUCGCUAGCAGCUCGUGUAUCUGUAUAUUUAAUUGCGACCUGGCUGCAUGUUCUUGUUGAGGAAGGAUGCAGAUGACAAGCGAAUCUAUAAAAACACAGUUGACAAACCCUGGAAAGGGAUAACUGACAGAUAAAACGACAGUCAGCGCGAAGCUAACUGGCAAACGCAUCAGUACAAAGUCAUAUACCUUCUGAGAGGAGUAGUAGUUUGUUUUAUUCCGGUUCUCCAGAGUUUUAUCUACUGUCGGUGUGAUGAGGGGGAGAAGAGCUAAUGUGCCCUGUUUAGGAUACAAACAUGCAGAUUAGAUCUGACUUCAGACACAGUGUUUCACUCAAGACUUAAAACAGAGGAAUAACCAGGCUUCUCCCACUGAGGAAAAGGAAAACAGAAGUAUAUGGAUUAUUUUUAAAAUGUUUUAAGGGUGUUUAAAACUUGUUUAAACACCACCAUUUCGCAUAUGGAUAUAGUGAACUAGUGGGAGUUCAUAGGGCUGAGAAUUGGGGCCCGGAGCUCACUGUCCGAGCCCGAGGUGUUGGGAGAAUAUCAGCCCGGCUCCCAUCUUCUGCACUUUUGUAUUACUUUAAGUUUUCAAUGAGGCAACUGUAAUUACGGGGCGUUUAACUUUUUGCCAGGCUCUUUCAUUAUGGCUUUGCAUUUGCACCUCGCUUUUAAGAGAAGUAAUAACAUUCACAGUCAGGGGCAAAUCCUGUUAAUGAACAAAUUAAAGUUCAAACAGUUAUUCAAGUUCACAGCCCCACUCGCUGCUCCUUUAAUAAGGGUUAUACAUGUUACUUUCUCUGGGGAUCACUCCCCCUUUUAUUACUUUUUAAGCUUUUCAUAAGGACUGGUGGGCUAUAUGGGCAGCUCCCAGCCACUAAAGAGCCCACAAAUCCUGAAGGGAGCCCUAAUCCGGCCUUAAUUUGGCAACUUUUGUAAAAGACAUAAAAGCUCGGGUGCCACCCUUGUGCGCUCAGAUGGCUGUAUCGCAGGGAGCAAGCCGGGGGAAGGCCCCACUCUUUCUCGCACCCCCCUAUUUGUGCUGGCUGCAUUCUCUCCGGAGCUGUGCAAGGGAAGCUUCCAUUAGUCCUUCCCUGGUACCGGAGGAUAAAUUAGGAUGUCAGAUCAAUAGCCUGGGAAUUUCCAUGCCCGGGUCCACUGGGCGCAGGCUGCCGGGGUGCCGGUCUCCGCAGCGCUACCCUUGGACCGGAGCUCGGUGACUGCUACUGGCCGCUGCCCCCAAGUGUCAACAACGUGCGGUUAAAAAAAAUAUCCCUGCGCUCUCUCUUUCCGCCGCCCCCCGCUUUCUUCUUUUCCUCCAAACCUUGCGCGGUUAGAGUGUCUGCGCUCACCUCGGCAUUUGCAUAAUAUGAAUCUUAAUUCCUCUUGUCACGGGGAGCCGCGGCUCCCGGCGGGGACGGGCGGGGAGCGGGGUGGCCCCCCUCGCGGUGCAGGGCACCCCGGGCCGGGGGGCGGCAGGCAGACUCCAACAAAGCCCGAGGAGUUUGACACUGGUUCAAGGCAGUGCCGGUGCAAAAGCGCUGUCUAUGUACAAAUAGAGGAGAUCACACUCCCCAUUAUCUACCUCCUGGCGAGUGUUUGAUUUGUGACAUCAAAAGCUUAUCAGGACAAGCUCACCAAAAAAAAAAAAAAAAAAAAAAAAAGAGAGAGAAAAAGGCACUCCUUCACGGAGGGAAACCGCUCCGGUUUAGGUGAUGGGCAGGAGAGAGGAGGGGGCCGGUGUUGCCAAAACGCCGCUGGUGCCGGGGAGGCGAUUUCUGUCCCUCCGUGUCCCCGUGGGCCGAGCGGCGGGGCCGGGUGCGGGAUCUGCCGCGGGCGGGAGGGCAGGGCUGACCCCGGCGGAGGGCUGGAGGGAGGCCCUGAUUCCUCGCAGCCAUCCGCACAGAAGUGGGUUUGAUAUAAUCACCAUGACAACUGCCGCCUAUGAGCAUACAAAUAAUAGAGAUGAAAUAGACAAAAGAUUAGCAUGCCAUGAAAAGUACAAUAAGUUUCUUAUUUAGCAUUUAGAUAACUGUCUUUCCUUCGGAGCAGGCUUCAAAGUUGAACCCAGUUUAGACCAAGAGGAUUAAUUCUUUCUCCCGCAUGCUUCAUUGAAUCUCUCAUUACCAAACUUUGUCUGUAUUGAUGUAAGAUUUGAUUGAAGAUUAGAGCAUUUAGCAAAUCUUGCUUUUCUGCAUGUAUCAGGCCUUUUCAAGCGCAGACCGCGCUGCCCAGUGGUCAAUACCCUUACUUUUAUCCAGUGUCUGCUUCAUUUAAACUUAAUCAACUCCCUCAAUGAACUGGAACAGGGAAACGUCCCUGCGGUAAGAAUGUUGUGCUUUUCUUAGAUAAUUCUUUGCUCCCUCUCCCAUCCGCUGGCGUUAAACCUAAAAUUGCUCUCUGAUGAACUUAAUCAAUAUGAUAAUGACAAUUGGGGCUGAAUGGCUUGUCCUGGGCUCCGCGUGGAGCGUGGAUGGCUGUGCCCAUUGCCCAAAGCCAACUUCCCCUUGUUUCUCCUCUCCCUCCUUUUGUGUGCGCUGCUCCCACCUUUCUCUUUUUCUCUCUCUCUCCCCCUUACUCCCCUCUCCGUGACACCGACCGCUGCUCACGCUGGAGAAUGAUGCUUCUUUGUGCGGCGGGAGGACUCGUAUGUCACAGCCCGGAGAAGCGGAGCGGAGCGAUUGGCGGGGUGAAUUAUCUGCCUUGUUGCGGUGAAUUAUUUGCGCUGUUUCCUUUCCCAGUCAACAAGUUUCUGAGCUUGACUUUGAAUUUCCAUAAGUGCAACAGCGAGGACACGGUGCUAGGUAGUGGAUUGCCGUGCGCUAUAUUUAGAAAGCAGCUGGAAGAGAAAAUGUCCUCAGGAAUCCGGACUAUUUUGUUGUAAAUGUCCCUACAGUCCCAGUACAGUAAGCGUAAAUGCUCGUUCUUCAGACGUGCCAGCGCUUCGCUCUGCCUGGGAGCCCUGGGUGUCAUGCCUGCCGUUAGCAACAAUGAGGGUCUGGUCCUUCCUUGGGCUGCCCAGGGACUUCCGAGGCAUCCAGCACGUGGCUUCCAGCUCAGCCUGCUUGGUGACUGCAGCAAGAAAGAGGCCCCGUAUCUCAAGGUGAAGGCUGUUGGUGGGCUCACCGCAGCAGGAUGAAGCCAACGCCUCCUAAAAGAAACAGCCCCCCAGCUGCUUGU